rnacentral:rRNA from 1 species
UGGGGAAUAUUGCGCAAUGGGCGAAAGCCUGACGCAGCAACACCGUGUGAGCGAUGAAGGCCUUAGGGUUGUAAAGCUCUGUCAAAUGGGAAGAAUUAUGACGGUACCUGCAGAAGAAGCUCCGGCCAACUACGUGCCAGCAGCCGCGGUAACACGUAGGGAGCAAGCGUUGUCCGGAAUUAUUGGGCGUAAAGAGCUCGUAGGCGGCUACAUAAGUCUGACGUGAAAGCCCGGGGCUCAACCCCGGAAGUGCAUCGGAAACUGUGUAGCUAGAGUCCCGGAGAGGAUGGUGGAAUUCCAGGUGUAGAGGUGAAAUUCGUAGAUAUCUGGAGGAACAUCAGUGGCGAAGGCGGCCAUCUGGACGGUGACUGACGCUGAGGUGCGAAAGCGUGGGGAGCGAACAGG